GAUGAACGCUGGCGGCGUGCCUAACACAUGCAAGUCGAGCGAAGCGCUUAAAUUAGAUUUCUUUGGAAUGACGAUUUUUGUGACUGAGCGGCGGACGGGUGAGUAACGCGGGGGUAACCUGCCUCAUACAGGGGGGUAACAGUUAGGAAUUGCUGCUAAUACCGCAUAAGACCCCAGCUUCGCCUGAAGCGGUGGGAAAAACUCCGGUGGUAUGAGAUGGACCCGCGUCUGAUUUGGUAGUUGGUAAGGUAACGGCUUACCAAGGCGACGAUCAGUAGCCGACCUGAGAGGGUGACCGGCCACAUUGGGACUGAGACACGGCCCAGACUCCUACGGGAGGCAGCAGUGGGGAAUAUUGCACAAUGGGGGAAACCCUGAUGCAGCGACGCCGCGUGAAGGAUGAAGUAUUUCGGUAUGUAAACUUCUAUCAGCAGGGAAGAAAGUGACGGUACCUGACUAAGAAGCCCCGGCUAACUACGUG
rnacentral:rRNA from 1 species